GAGGUAAUAGAGGAGGAGAUUCAAGGGGGCUCCAUCUUUUCUUCAACCACUCCCACACCUCCUAAUUUAUCCUGCAUGGAGCUCUCAAAGCCUUUUCAAAUCAGCGUUCUAUGCUGAUUUCUGGUUCCAAUGGUAAGGGCAGUCAGGAUGCCCUCCCAGAGAAUCUUUAAAGUGCUGUAAGAGUUGCUUUCAGAUUCCUUGGAAAAAACUUCUGGGAAACCUGACAAUUGUUUCUGCCACCUACCUAUGACUGUAAAGUGCUCUGAUGGCUUCAAUAUAUAUGAAAUGGAAUGUGAAUGACUGAUCAACACUGGUUUGCCGUUGGUCUUUACUUGGUCACUGACCAACUGGUAGUUCAGUCCUUGUUUAAAUAUUUUCCCCUAGUAGGAGACAUCCUAUUAAAAUUAUGACUAUUAGUAGCAAA
rnacentral:lncRNA from 1 species